rnacentral:rRNA from 1 species
AUUGAACGCUGGCGGCAGGCCUAACACAUGCAAGUCGAACGAGUGGCGGACGGGUGAGUAAUGUCUGGGAAACUGCCUGAUGGAGGGGGAUAACUACUGGAAACGGUAGCUAAUACCGCAUCCCAUCGGAUGUGCCCCGAUGGGAUUAGCUAGUAGGUGGGGUAAAGGCUCACCUAGGCGACGAGCCCUAGCUGGUCUGAGAGGAUGACCGGCCACACUGGAACGGAGACACGGUCCAGCCGCCUACGGGAGGCAGCAGAGGGGAAUAGUGCACAAUGGGGGCAAGCCUGGUGCAGCCAGGCCGCGUGUAUGAAGAAGGCCUUCGGGUUGUAAAGUACUUGCAGGGGGGAGGCGUUACCCGCAGAAGAAGCACCGGCUAACUCCGUGCCAGCAGCCGCGGUAAUAC